GGCGGAGUUCAACCCUGCGCUCAAUGUGGUUUUAUGGCACGAGAGACGGGAGAGAAAUUUGAAUGAAGCACUGAGAAACGAGAGAAUCAUGAAUGAAAAGGAAAGCGCGGCUUCAGGAGGCGCUAUAAAACGAGAGUUGAGAGAAAGAGAGUAACAGCAACCGCAUGCUGAGUUUGUUUGUAAACAAAAAUUUGGCGUGGAAGGGAUUUGCUUUCGAUUUGGCCAAACGUGCACGCUGCGUUUGCUUGCAGAAGCAGUGAAAGCACAGGUGUUUUUCAUGGCGAGACCACACGCUGAUUUGUAGGUUCAUUGAAGCUUGCUGGCAUGAAAAGAUCAAAUUGGUUUCCAUUUAUUUUUAGCUGUUUUCUUUUCAAUUAAAUGAAGAAUGGAAGUUAGGAGCAUGAUAACACUCCGGGUGGAAGGACUCUUCGUUAUUUGGUGAUGCAAUAUUUGUUCUGCGAAAUUAAAGAAUGGUGAAUGGAAUGCGGAAAUGGAUCAUCAGGGGAUGGAGUAGAAAUAAUUUUAUUGCAUAUUGUAGAAUGCAAACCGUUAGAGCGAGCAGCAUUUUAAAAGGAAAAUGAUCGAGAAUCUUGACAUGCUUAUCUACAGGAUUAUUAUCAGAACUGUCAACUGAACAAGUACCACAUAGGCGUUGAGGAGAAAGAACCCAUUGUGAAGUACAGUCAGGUUUUUUUUUACGCGGGGGAUACGUACCGCGUAAAAAUAAAACUCAGUUCAAAAUUCAAAAAACCGCGUAAAAAAAGUCUCACCAUUUCUCGACGAAUCAUGCAAAAAUAAGACGAUGAAUUUUUUUUUGUAUGGAGUUUUCAUUUACGCGGCCGCGUAAAUGAAAACCGCGUAAAAAAAGACCUGACUGUAUUCCAGAAGCGGGACGGAUUCCUGGUGGCAGAACAAUUAUUCGGAAAAAGGUCGUUGUUUGUCAUAUUCAAAAGAUUGCAAUCCACCACACUUCAGAACUGAAGAUUUGAAGUGAUGGAGCAAGGUGUGAACAGUCUACCAACAGUUUAAGGGAAUCCGAAAAAAUAUCGCCUCGAAGGAGGGAGUUGCCUUAGCGGUGGAUGAAAACCUAGUGAGUAGGCAAUAACGUCUUGUCCCAGAGGAGGAUCACAUAUUUGACAAGGAAUGAACUAAAGAUCAAACAUCUGUUUGACACUAAUGAAAAUUCGAUCGAGUUCAACAAGAUGUUUGAGCAUUGGUUUCUUUUUUGAGAAAUAUUUUAUCCUGUGUACUGGGAUCUUAUCUGAAUUAAUUUUCCAAGGAAUGUAAAGAAGGAGCACUAAAUGAAUUUGAUGUCAAAUAA